UUUAUGGAGAGUUUGAUCCUGGCUCAGGAUGAACGCUGGCGGCGUGCCUAAUACAUGCAAGUCGAGCGAACAGACGAGGAGCUUGCUCCUCUGACGUUAGCGGCGGACGGGUGAGUAACACGUGGAUAACCUACCUAUAAGACUGGGAUAACUUCGGGAAACCGGAGCUAAUACCGGAUAAUAUAUUGAACCGCAUGGUUCAAUAGUGAAAGACGGUUUUGCUGUCACUUAUAGAUGGAUCCGCGCCGCAUUAGCUAGUUGGUAAGGUAACGGCUUACCAAGGCAACGAUGCGUAGCCGACCUGAGAGGGUGAUCGGCCACACUGGAACUGAGACACGGUCCAGACUCCUACGGGAGGCAGCAGUAGGGAAUCUUCCGCAAUGGGCGAAAGC
rnacentral:rRNA from 2 species